AACGUAGGUGGCAAGCGUUGUCCGGAAUUACUGGGUGUAAAGGGAGCGCAGGCGGGAGAGCAAGUUGGAAGUGAAAUCUGUGGGCUCAACUCACAAAUUGCUUUCAAAACUGUUUUUCUUGAGUGGUGUAGAGGUAGGCGGAAUUCCCGGUGUAGCGGUGGAAUGCAUAGAUAUCGGGAGGAACACCAGUGGCGAAGGCGGCCUACUGGGCACUAACUGACGCUGAGGCUCGAAAGCAUGGGUAGCAAACAGG
rnacentral:rRNA from 1 species